AAUAAGUACAGUUUUGUACUGUUUAUGUUUAACUUUUGACCGUUCGUCUUAUUUGAAAUUUUUUUAUGAUUAGUAUUUUUGUUGUUAUUAGAUGAUAAAACAUGAACGGUAUUUUAUGUGUGACUAAUUUUUUUUCAAAUUUUUUAUAAAUUUUUAAAUAAGACGAACGGUCGAACGUCUGACACAGUUCCCCACGACUACACUUAUU
rfam:Oryza glaberrima chromosome 9 Oglab09_0146_2, whole genome shotgun sequence.